rnacentral:rRNA from 1 species
UACGUAGGUGGCAAGCGUUGUCCGGAUUUAUUGGGUUUAAAGGGUGCGUAGGCGGUUCCAUAAGUCAGUGGUGAAAUACGGCAGCUCAACUGUCGAGGUGCCAUUGAUACUGUGGAACUUGAGUACAGACGAGGUAGGCGGAAUUGACGGUGUAGCGGUGAAAUGCUUAGAUAUCGUCAAGAACACCGAUAGCGAAGGCAGCUUACUAGACUGUAACUGACGCUGAGGCACGAAAGUGUGGGGGAUCAAACAGG